rnacentral:rRNA from 1 species
UACGUAGGGUGCGAGCGUUAAUCGGAAUUAUUGGGCGUAAAGAGCUCGUAGGCGGUCCGUCGCGUCGGAUGUGAAACCUCGGGGCUCAACCCCGAGCCUGCAUUCGAUACGGGCAGACUAGAGUUCGGUAGGGGAGACUGGAAUUCCAGGUGUAGCGGUGAAAUGCGUAGAUAUCUGGAGGAACACCGGUGGCGAAGGCGGCAUCCUGGACCGACACUGACGCUGAGGAGCGAAAGCCAGGGGAGCAAACGGG